rnacentral:tRNA from 1 species
GGUGGUUUUCUAUUGGCUCUGUCCCGCCUCCCCUCCUAGUAUGGUAGCACCGACGUUGGC